rnacentral:rRNA from 1 species
CAAUAGCGUAUAUUAAAGUUGUUGCGGUUAAAAAGCUCGUAGUUGGAUUUCGGGUGGGACGCAGCGGUCUCGCAUUGCGUUUGUACUGCUGCAGCCCUCCUUCUUGCCGGGGGCGGCCUCUCGGACUUCACUGUCUGGGGGUCAGAAUCGGCGAUGUUACUUUGAGUAAAUUAGAGUGUUCAAAGCAAGCUUACGCUCUGAAUAUAAUAGCAUGGGAUAACACGACAGGACUCUGGCCUAUCGUGUUGGUCUAUAGGACCAGAGUAAUGAUUAAGAGGGACAGUCGGGGGCAUUCGUAUUCCGUUGUCAGAGGUGAAAUUCUUGGAUUUACGGAAGACGAACAUCUGCGAAAGCAUUUGCCAAGGAUGUUUUCAUUG